rnacentral:rRNA from 1 species
CCUACGGGAGGCAGCAGUGAGGAAUAUUGGUCAAUGGACGCAAGUCUGAACCAGCCAUGCCGCGUGCAGGAAGACGGCUCUAUGAGUUGUAAACUGCUUUUGUACGAGGGUAAACGCAGAUACGCGUCUCUGUCUGAAAGUAUCGUACGAAUAAGGAUCGGCUAACUCCGUGCCAGCCGCCGCGGUAAUACGGAGGAUUCAAGCGUUAUCCGGAUUUAUUGGGUUUAAAGGGUGCGUAGGCGGUCGGAUAAGUUAGAGGUGAAAUCCCGCGGCUCAACUUCGGAAUUGCAUCUGAUACUGUUCGGCUAGAGAGUAGUUGCGGUAGGCGGAAUGUAUGGUGUAGCGGUGAAAUGCUUAGAGAUCAUACAGAACACCGAUUGCGAAGGCAGCUUACCAAGCUACUUCUGACGUUGAGGCACGAAAGCGUGGGGAGCAAACAGGAUUAGAUACCCUAGUAGUC